GACGAACGCUGGCGGCGUGCCUAAUACAUGCAAGUAGAACGCUGAAGAGAGGAGCUUGCUCUUCUUGGAUGAGUUGCGAACGGGUGAGUAACGCGUAGGUAACCUGCCUGGUAGCGGGGGAUAACUAUUGGAAACGAUAGCUAAUACCGCAUAAAAUUGAUUAUUGCAUGAUAAUUAAUUGAAAGAUGCAACUGCAUCACUACCAGAUGGACCUGCGUUGUAUUAGCUAGUUGGUGAGGUAACAGCUCACCAAGGCGACGAUACAUAGCCGACCUGAGAGGGUGAUCGGCCACACUGGGACUGAGACACGGCCCAGACUCCUACGGGAGGCAGCAGUAGGGAAUCUUCGGCAAUGGGGGGAACCCUGACCGAGCAACGCCGCGUGAGUGAAGAAGGUUUUCGGAUCGUAAAGCUCUGUUGUAAGAGAAGAACGGGUGUGAGAGUGGAAAGUUCACACUGUGACGGUAUCUUACCAGAAAGGGACGGCUAACUACGUG
rnacentral:rRNA from 1 species